rnacentral:rRNA from 1 species
GNNNUGAGUAUNNNUNNNNNNGGCGGAAUGCGUGNNNNNGCGGUGAAAUGCAUAGAUAUCACGCAGAACUCCGAUUGCGAAGGCAGCUUGCCAAGCCAUAACUGACACUGAAGCACGAAAGCGUGGGUAUCAAACAGGAUUAGAUACCCUGGUAGUCCACGCAGUAAACGAUGAUUACUAGGAGUUUGCGAUAAAAUGUAAGCUCUACAGCGAAAGCGUUAAGUAAUCCACCUGGGGAGUACGCCGGCAACGGUGAAACUCAAAGGAAUUGACGGGGGCCCGCACAAGCGGAGGAACAUGUGGUUUAAUUCGAUGAUACGCGAGGAACCUUACCCGGGUUUGAACGCAGUCCGACCGCCGAUGAAAGUCGGCUUCUAGCAAUAGCGGAUUGCGAGGUGCUGCAUGGUUGUCGUCAGCUCGUGCCGUGAGGUGUCGGCUUAAGUGCCAUAACGAGCGCAACCCUUGCCGUUAGUUACUAACAAGUUAUGUUGAGGACUCUAGCGGGACUGCCAGCGUAAGCUGUGAGGAAGGCGGGGAUGACGUCAAAUCAGCACGGCCCUUACAUCCGGGGCGACACACGUGUUACAAUGGCGUGGACAAAGAGCAGCCACUUGGCGACAAGGAGCUAAUCUCCAAACCACGUCUCAGUUCGGAUCGGAGUCUGCAACUCGACUCCGUGAAGCUGGAUUCGCUAGUAAUCGCGCAUCAGCCAUGGCGCGGUGAAUACGUUCCCGGGCCUUGUACACACCGCCCGUCAAGCCAUGGGAGCCGGGGGUACCUGAAGUCCGUAACCGCGAGGAUCGGCCUAGGGUAAAACUGGUGACUGGGGCUAAGUCGUAACAAGGUAACCA